rnacentral:rRNA from 1 species
UCCUGCCGGACCUGACUGCUAUCGGAUUGAUACUAAGCCAUGCGAGUCUUUGCAGUAAUGCAAGGCAUACGGCUCAGUAACACGUAGUCAACCUACCCUAUGGACGGGAAUAAUCUCGGGAAACUGAGCAUAAUGCUUGAUAGAUCAUAAUGCCUGGAAUGGUUUAUGGUUAAAAUGAUUCGUCGCCAUAGGAUGGGACUGCGGCCUAUCAGCUUGUUGGUGAGGUAAUGGCCCACCAAGGCGAUUACAGGUACGGGCUCUGAGAGGAGAAGCCCGGAGAUGGGUACUGAGACACGGACCCAGGCCCUAUGGGGCGCAGCAGGCGAGAAAACUUUGCAAUGUGCGAAAGCACGACAAGGUUAGUCCGAGUGAUUUCUGCUAAAGAAACCUUUUGCCAGUCCUAAAACCGCUGGUGAAUAAGGGGUGGGCAAGUUUUGGUGUCAGCCGCCGCGGUAAAACCAGCACCUCAAGUGGUCAGGAUGAUUAUUGGGCCUAAAGCAUCCGUAGCCGGCUUUGUAAGUUUUCGGUUAAAUCCAUGUGCUCAACGCAUGGGCUGCCGAAAAUACUGCAUAGCUAGGGAGUGGGAGAGGUAGACGGUACUCAGUAGGUAGGGGUAAAAUCCUUUGAUUUAUUGAUGACCACCUGUGGCGAAGGCGGUUUACCAGAACACGUUCGACGGUGAGGGAUGAAAGCUGGGGGAGCAAACCGGAUUAGAUACCCGGGUAGUCCCAGCUGUAAACGAUGCAGAAUAGAUGAUGCAUUGGCAUAAUAGCCAUUGCAGUGUCUCAGGGAAGCCGUUAAGUCUGCCGCCUGGGAAGUACGUACGCAAGUAUGAAACUUAAAGGAAUUGGCGGGGGAGCACCACAAGGGGUGAAGCCUGCGGUUCAAU